UCCCCUGCUAUCUCAGAGGAGUUGACACUUGUACGUCUGUAUUCCUGUAUAUUCAUCAGUAAUUAAGUACAAGGAUCAAAUGCAUAUUCUGCCCUGUAAAACAAUGACAGUGCAAUUGUCGCUUCAUAUGAUCUGAAGCCCCAUUUGGAGCUUUUAAACAGGAUUUUGAAAAACUUUGAUAAAUUGCUGCUGUAAUAUUAUAGAUUUUUUAGAAAAAAAAGCUAGCAGAUGUGCAUAAACAAACAAAAAAAUACAAUACAGUUCAGUAAAAUACAGUUCUGUUUUAUGCCUCAUUCUUGUAAGUUUAAAAUGUUCCAAUGCUCCUGAAUGCACCAUAGCUUUCUGACGCGCAGCAAACGCAUCUCACUGGUCUGUGAACGCUGUGCUGUGUAGGUGCGCGUUUGAUUUUCCACUUAAGAGAAAGCUUUGCAAACUCAAAACUCACGUCGGCUAUCACGGUUUAGUGUUGUGUGUAAAUAGCAAGAGACCACAACAAAUAAAUCAGCCGUACCAUGGUCAAAAUCUUUGGAUUUAAUGUUGUUCAAAAAAUCCGUACUUUUUUAAAUGAAUCUGCCAAAUAACCACAACUUUUUUUCCCACGAGAGUUCAACAGAGCGAGGCGCGCUCCCGCGACUGGGGAUGCAUAUUUCGGCAGGCAUGCACUUUUAGGCAUAAUACCCACACCGCCCUUCUUCACGUGCCUGUUCUCAUUAUGGAGCCCUUCAGAAAUGUGCUCUCAUCAGGGGGGCGGUCUUAUUAUGACAGUGGCAGAACCUGAUACAGUAGAAAGGUUCAUGUCACGAAGAACCUCAAUGGAGGAAACACGUCUACGAUGGCUGCUCUGUCUAGGUUUACCGCUGUGCUUCACUACAAACCAAG